UUGCUUGAGUAGCUGAAGGAGUUUAAGGGCAGUCAGUUUAUGCUCCCGUUUAUUGAAGAUAUUCAAGAGUUCUUAGGCAGAAUGGAAGAAGCUGCUAAGAAGAAACACCCAGGAAAUAAAGGAUUCUGAAGGGGGAGAGGUGUCCAAAUCAGUGUUGAGAUGUUGGUGAGUGGAAGAACAUGAUACAGAGAAGCAAGGGAAGGAGAAAACAAUCUGAGCCCUGGGAAUUAUACUACAGAUCGAAAGCUGCUUUGCGUCGCAGUUGGAGCAGCACCCCCACUGCAAGUGGCAUUGAAGGGAGCGUGAAGCUGCAUGAGGGGUCUCAGGUCCUGCUCACGAGCUCUAAUGAGAUGGGUACUGUUAGGUACGUGGGCCCCACUGACUUUGCUUCAGGUAUCUGGCUUGGACUUGAGCUCCGAAGUGCC
rnacentral:sRNA from 1 species